rnacentral:rRNA from 1 species
UACAGAGGGUGCAAGCGUUAAUCGGAAUUACUGGGCGUAAAGCGCGCGUAGGUGGUUUGUUAAGUUGGAUGUGAAAUCCCCGGGCUCAACCUGGGAACUGCAUUCAAAACUGACAAGCUAGAGUAUGGUAGAGGGUGGUGGAAUUUCCUGUGUAGCGGUGAAAUGCGUAGAUAUAGGAAGGAACACCAGUGGCGAAGGCGAGUCCCUGGACAAUACCUGACACUGAGGCACGAAAGCCAAGGGAGCAAACAGG